CCCUUAGAUGUUCUGGGCCGCACGCGCGCUACACUGAUGCAUUCAACGAGUGUACCUUGGCCGAGAGGCCUGGGCAAUCUUUUGAACGUGCAUCGUGAUAGGGAUAGAUUAUUGCAAUUAUUAAUCUUGAACGAGGAAUUCCUAGUAAACGCAGAUCAUCAAUCUGCAUUGAUUACGUCCCUGCCCUUUGUACACACCGCCCGUCGCACCUACCGAUUGGACGGUCCGGUGAAGCCUCGGGAUUGUGGCGGUUGCCUUUAUUGGUGUCCGCCGCGAGAACUUGUCUAAACCUUAUCAUCUAGAGGAAGGUGAAGUCGUAACA
rnacentral:rRNA from 1 species